rnacentral:rRNA from 1 species
AGUGAACGCUGGCGGUAGGCCUAACACAUGCAAGUCGAACGGCAGCACAGUAAGAGCUUGCUCUUACGGGUGGCGAGUGGCGGACGGGUGAGGAAUACAUCGGAAUCUACUUUUUCGUGGGGGAUAACGUAGGGAAACUUACGCUAAUACCGCAUACGACCUACGGGUGAAAGCAGGGGAUCUUCGGACCUUGCGCGAUUGAAUGAGCCGAUGUCGGAUUAGCUAGUUGGCGGGGUAAAGGCCCACCAAGGCGACGAUCCGUAGCUGGUCUGAGAGGAUGAUCAGCCACACUGGAACUGAGACACGGUCCAGACUCCUACGGGAGGCAGCAGUGGGGAAUAUUGGACAAUGGGCGCAAGCCUGAUCCAGCCAUACCGCGUUGGUGAAGAAGGCCUUCGGGUUGUAAAGCCCUUUUGUUGGGAAAGAAAAGCAGCAGGUUAAUACCCCGCUGUUCUGACGGUACCCAAAGAAUAAGCACCGGCUAACUUCGUG